rnacentral:misc_RNA from 1 species
UUGUUUUGUUCCAAAUCAAAGCAUAGACGUUCACUGAGCUCGUCACCGAGUUGAUUGAUCCAGUGCUGGACAGAAACAAUUGUCUUUAAAGCCCGAGGACCCGGAAAUGACUUGCCAGAACCAUGGCUCUUAGGAAGAAGGCGUCCCUGAACUUCUUCCCCAUUGAUCCCUCUAGCAAUGUUCCACAACCAGGUACCUGUAUUUAU